UGCAGUCGAGCGGUAGAGAGAAGCUUGCUUCUCUUGAGAGCGGCGGACGGGUGAGUAAUGCCUAGGAAUCUGCCUGGUAGUGGGGGAUAACGUUCGGAAACGGACGCUAAUACCGCAUACGUCCUACGGGAGAAAGCAGGGGACCUUCGGGCCUUGCGCUAUCAGAUGAGCCUAGGUCGGAUUAGCUAGUUGGUGAGGUAAUGGCUCACCAAGGCGACGAUCCGUAACUGGUCUGAGAGGAUGAUCAGUCACACUGGAACUGAGACACGGUCCAGACUCCUACGGGAGGCAGCAGUGGGGAAUAUUGGACAAUGGGCGAAAGCCUGAUCCAGCCAUGCCGCGUGUGUGAAGAAGGUCUUCGGAUUGUAAAGCACUUUAAGUUGGGAGGAAGGGUUGUAGAUUAAUACUCUGCAAUUUUGACGUUACCGACAGAAUAAGCACCGGCUAACUCUGUGCCAGCAGCCGCGGUAAUACAGAGGGUGCAAGCGUUAAUCGGAAUUACUGGGCGUAAAGCGCGCGUAGGUGGUUUGUUAAGUUGGAUGUGAAAUCCCCGGGCUCAACCUGGGAACUGCAUUCAAAACUGACUGACUAGAGUAUGGUAG
rnacentral:rRNA from 1 species